AGUGAAUAGAUACCCAGGUAGUCCCAGCUGUAAACGAUGCAGGCUAGGUGUUUGGACGGCCACGUGCCGUUCUAGUGCCGCAGGGAAGCUGUUAAGCCUGCCGCCUGGGGAGUACGAUCGCAAGAUUGAAACUUAAAGGAAUUGGCGGGGGAGCACCACAAGGGGUGAAAGCUUGCGGUUUAAUUGGAGUCAACGCCGGAAAUCUCACCGGGAGCGACAGCAGUGUGAAGGCCAGAUUAAAGGUCUUGCCAGACGAGCUGAGAGGAGGUGCAUGGCCGUCGCCAGUUCGUGCCGUGAGGUGUCCUGUUAAGUCAGGCAACGAUCGAGACCCGCGUCCUCUGUUGCUACUAGCCUUGUGCUGGGCACACUGAGGAGACCGCCACUGAUAAAGUGGAGGAAGGAGCGGGCCACGGCAGGUCAGUAUGCCCCGAAUCUCCCGGGCCACACGCGAGCUGCAAUGGCAGGUACAAUGGGUUCCGACCUCGAAAGGGGGAGGCAAUCUCGAAAGCCUGCCGUAGUUGGGAUC
rnacentral:rRNA from 1 species